rnacentral:rRNA from 1 species
ACUCCUACGGGAGGCAGCAGUGGGAAUAUUGGACAAUGGGGGGAACCCUGAUCCAGCCAUGCCGCGUGUGUGAAGAAGGCCUUAUGGUUGUAAAGCACUUUAAGCGAGGAGGAGGCUACUAGUAUUAAUACUACUGGAUAGUGGACGUUACUCGCAGAAGAAGCACCGGCUAACUCCGUGCCAGCAGCCGCGGUAAUACGGAGGGUGCGAGCGUUAAUCGGAAUUACUGGGCGUAAAGCGCAUGCAGGCGGCCUGUUAAGUCAGAUGUGAAAGCCCGGGGCUUAACCUCGGAAUUGCAUUUGAAACUGGCAGGCUAGAGUCUUGUAGAGGGGGGUAGAAUUUCAGGUGUAGCGGUGAAAUGCGUAGAGAUCUGAAGGAAUACCAGUGGCGAAGGCGGCCCCCUGGACAAAGACUGACGCUCAGAUGCGAAAGCGUGGGGAGCAAACAGGAUUAGAUACCCUGGUAGCGACUGAU